UCGCGUAUUAAAACUGCAAUACACUUGUAAUCUAGCCAAUAGUUGUUUUCGGUUUCACUCGUACACACACGCCCCGUAGCAGCAGUAAGAUAAAAAUAAGAGGAAACCUGAUUUCUUGCGUUUACAUCGAAAACAUGUGCAAAUGCGUUAGCAUUUAGCAUUAGCGGCACCGCCGCAAGAACUUGACACAAAAGGCUGUGCAUCCCCAAAGGCACACUUUCUUUUGGAAUAAUGCAGGGAUCACCUCCAGGUGACUGACUGUUUGUGACAGUUGGGGAGAUGUUAAGAUGGAAAAUCCUCUUAGAAUGGCUUCACCAGCUAUCUACAUCAACAGAGGAGAAAAUGCUCUGUUCCAUCUUGUGAAGUGAUCAUGAAGUGGUAGUCUUCAAGUUUCAGUAGAGCUUGGCACUCCAGGGCUGAAAUGAUUCUAGUGAAGGUGUAUGGAGUUUAAAGAGCCCAUAUUAUUGCUAUUAUUAUGCUAUUAUGCCAUGAUUUAUGUUAAAAUGCUAUUUCCUCAUCACAAACAAUGUCUGACACAAAAAAGAGCAUAUUAUGGCUGUUCUUCUCUCAAACUGAAAACAUUCUGUUCCACCUUGUGAUGUCCACUGUGUUUUUAAAGUCCAUACACCUUCACUAGAAUCAUUUGGAUCAUUUCAGCGAUGGAACUGCCUAUUUCUACUGAACUAAAGGUAAAAGGUAUAGUUGUUAAUUUGAAAACUACCACUGUAUGACAUCACAAGGUGGAACAGAGUGUUUUCAGUUUGAGAAGAACUCUUAGAGUAAAUAUUUAGGGUUUGUGUGUGAAUGAAACAAAACACAAAUCCAUGUAUGUUUUUGAUGAGGAAACAAUAUUGUAAGAGAUCAGAAAA